GUUCAAAAGCUAAACCUCCCAUUGGAGAACAGAAAAUUUAAUGAGCUUUUAAUGGAAUGCAAUGCUCAGAGUAGUAAAUUAUUUGUUAGUUGACGAUGCAAUCAGCAUGCUGAUUAAGGUUGCUUGGUUUUUUACUAAACAUUAACUGAAUGAAAACGGGUAGUCCUUGUUCUGCUUGGGGGGCUUUAAGGAAGCAAAUGGACUUUCAGAACAGAGAUUGUCAAUAAAGGUUCUGACACAACCACUUUGCUCGUGCAGAUCCUCUUUUUAAAAUUCACAGGAAAUCAGAUCAUCAGGAGUUCCUGAUAAGGAAUAUGGAACUAAUAAGCCACCACCAACCGGAAGAGUUCGGGAAA